rnacentral:rRNA from 1 species
AAUGGGCGAAAGCCUGACGCAGCCAUGCCGCGUGUGUGAAGAAGGCCUUCGGGUUGUAAAGCACUUUCAAUUGGGAGGAAAGGUCCGUAGUUAAUAACUGCGAGCUGUGACGUUACCUUUAGAAGAAGCACCGGCUAACUCCGUGCCAGCAGCCGCGGUAAUACGGAGGGUGCGAGCGUUAAUCGGAAUUACUGGGCGUAAAGCGCGCGUAGGCGGUUUGUUAAGUCGGAUGUGAAAGCCCCGGGCUCAACCUGGGAAUUGCACCCGAUACUGGCCGACUGGAGUGCGAGAGAGGGAGGUAGAAUUCCACGUGUAGCGGUGAAAUGCGUAGAUAUGUGGAGGAAUACCGGUGGCGAAGGCGGCCUCCUGGCUCGACACUGACGCUGAGGUGCGAAAGCGUGGGGAGCAAACAGGAUU